rnacentral:rRNA from 1 species
AUUGAACGCUGGCGGCAGGCCUAACACAUGCAGGUCGAACGAGUGGCGGACGGGUGAGUAAUGUCUGGGAAACUGCCUGAUGGAGGGGGAUAACUACUGGAAACGGUAGCUAAUAUCGCAUACCAUCAGAUGUGCCCAGACGGGAUUAGCUUGUUGGUGGGGUAACGGCUCACCAAGGAGACGAUCCCUAGCUGGUCUGAGAGGAUGACCGUCCACACUGGCACUGGUACGCGGUCCAGACUCCUACGGGAGGCUGCAGUGGGGAAUAUUGCACGAUGUGCGCAAGCCGGUUGCCGCCGUGCCGCGUGUAUGAAGAAGGCCUUCGGGUUGUAAAGUACUUUCAGCGGGGAGGCGUUACCCGCAGAAGAAGCGCCGGCUAUCUCGGUGCCAGCAGCCGCGGUAAUUC